rnacentral:lncRNA from 1 species
CACACAAUGGCAUUGAAUCAUCCAAGAUUGUUACUAUCAAAACUGAUGGAAAACAUACAUUGAAACCAGCUGGAAAUCUCAAGUUCUCAACACCCUUGUGCACUUCUGCUUUCUUGUGGCCAUACUUUAAGUACCCACCAUUGCCACAGUUGCCACCUUUCCCAAAAGAUCAUCCUUGGAUGAAGAAGUUCCCUAAGUUGCCACCAUUCCCACCAAUGCCACCAUUGAAUCACUGGGGCCACCCUUUCCCUCUUCCACCUAUUCCUCCCCUUUUUAAAAAGCCAUGUCCCCCACCACUAGUAAAGCCUCCAGUUCCCGUUUACAACCCAACACCAAAGCCCACACCAGAGCCACCAGUAGUAAAGCCACUUCCUCCUCCAGUUCCCGUUUACAACCCAACACCAAAGCCCACACCAGAGCCACCAGUAGUAAAGCCACUUCCUCCUCCAGUUCCCGUUUACAACCCAACACCAAAGCCCACACCAGAGCCACCAGUAGUAAAGCCACUUCCUCCUCCAGUUCCCGUUUACAACCCAACACCAAAGCCCACACCAGAGCCACCAGUAGUAAAGCCACUUCCUCCUCCCGUUCCUGUUUACAAACCAAAACCAAAGCCUCCUCCAGUUCCCGUCUACAAGCCCAAGCCUAAGCCACCUCCAGUUCCUACUUACAAGCCCAAACCAGAGCCUCCAGUUAAAAAACCAUGUCCCCCUUCAGUUCCAAAACCAAAGCCUCCUCCAGUUAAAAAACCAUGCCCCCCUAAAGUUCCAACUUACAAACCCAAGCCUAAACCAGAGCCACCAGUAGUAAAGCCACUUCCUCCACCAGUUCCAGUUUACAAGCCACCAGUAGUAAAACCCCUUCCACCACCUGUUCCAAUUUACAAAAAGCCAUGCCCACCAUUUCCACACCUUCCACCACUGCCACCAAUAGUGAAGCCACUUCCUCCUCCAGUUCCAGUUUACAAGCCACCAGUAGUAAAACCCCUUCCACCACCUGUUCCAAUUUACAAAAAGCCAUGCCCACCAUUUCCACACCUUCCACCACUGCCACCAAUAGUGAAGCCACUUCCUCCACCAGUUCCAGUUUACAAGCCACCAGUAGUAAAACCCCUUCCACCACCUGUUCCAAUUUACAAAAAGCCAUGCCCACCAUUUCCACACCUUCCACCACUGCCACCAAUAGUGAAGCCACUUCCUCCUCCAGUUCCAAUUUACGUGCCACCAGUAGUAAAACCCCUGCCACCACCCGUUCCAAUUUAUGAGCCACCAGUAGUAAAACCCCUGCCACCACCUGUUCCAAUUUACAAGCCACCAUUUUACAAAAAGCCAUGCCCACCACUUCCACCAUUCCCUAAAAUUCCUCCCUUCCACCAUCCUCUCUUCCCACCACUUCCACCUAAAUUUCCUCACCCAUAGACCAAACAUUAAAUUCAAGAGUUCCUUUGGGUGUAUGUAGGGCUGAAUCUUUUUCUGUUUUAAAACCAUGAAAAUUAUUUGCAAUUCAAUGAAUAAAAUCGACCGCCAAGAGAUAUGAUGCUUGAGAAU